UACAGAGGGUGCGAGCGUUGUUCGGAAUUACUGGGCGUAAAGCGCGCGCAGGCGGCCUUUUAAGUCUGACGGUGAAAUGCCGGGGCUCAACCCCGUGCCCGCCGGAGAUACUGGGAGGCUGGAGACGAGUAGAGGCAAGCGGAAUUCCGGGUGUAGCGGUGGAAUGCGUAGAGAUCCGGAAGAACACCGGAGGCGAAGGCGGCUUGCUGGGCUCAUGUCUGACGCUGAGGCGCGAAAGCGUGGGGAGCGAACAGG
rnacentral:rRNA from 1 species